AUGCCAAUCGACGCAACACCCAAUCAGCGUGAAGUGCCUCCGGUGCCCAUCGUUCCGCUGCCUACUCCCUCCAGCAACAUCGUGCAUCAUUCCAAUGACGAGCAACAUCUCGAUAUCAGCCACACCGCUCAAAUCCGCCUUCGCAAGCACUUCAACGACUCCGGCUUCAUUCUACUUCCAGUCUCUCCCCUGCAUCCUCUGUCCUCCGUUCACCGUCAAUUUAACCGUCCCGACCUCCAACUAGCCAGCGAAUCAAAGCGAGCACCAUCGAAUUUCUGA